GAUGAACGCUGGCGGCGUGCCUAAUACAUGCGAGUCGAGCGAACGGACGAGAAGCUUGCUUUUCUGAUGUUAGCGGCGGACGGGUGAGUAACACGUGGAUAACCUACCUAUAAGACUGGGAUAACUUCGGGAAACCGGAGCUAAUACCGGAUAAUAUUUUGAACCGCAUGGUUCAAAAGUGAAAGACGGUCUUGCUGUCACUUAUAGAUGGAUCCGCGCUGCAUUAGCUAGUUGGUAAGGUAACGGCUUACCAAGGCAACGAUGCAUAGCCGACCUGAGAGGGUGAUCGGCCACACUGGAACUGAGACACGGUCCAGACUCCUACGGGAGGCAGCAGUAGGGAAUCUUCCGCAAUGGGCGAAAGCCUGACGGAGCAACGCCGCGUGAGUGAUGAAGGUCCUCGGAUCGUAAAACUCUGUUAUUAGGGAAGAACAUAUGUGUAAGUAACUGUGCACAUCUUGACGGUACCUAAUCAGAAAGCCACGGCUAACUACGUG
rnacentral:rRNA from 1 species